GUUGAAGUUGUGCAAGAACAGCCAACAACAGGAUAAUGGGACUAGUUUCAAACAAUCACACCCCAUGGAAUGAGUCCUGUUUAUCUUAUGCAGUUAGGGUUGAUAUCCUUGUCUCUUCUUCCUAACUUUUUAAUGUCAUCGACGAGAUAUUCAAAAGCAUUGUACGAUGAACCUCCUUCUCCAACACUAAUUUCUGCCAACAU
rnacentral:misc_RNA from 1 species